AGUGAACGCUGGCGGCAGGCCUAACACAUGCAAGUCGAACGGCAGCACGGCAGUAGCAAUACUGUGGGUGGCGAGUGGCGGACGGGUGAGGAAUACAUCGGGAUCUACCCUGUUGUGGGGGAUAACGUAGGGAAACUUACGCUAAUACCGCAUAAGAACUGAGGUUGAAAGCGGCGGACCGCAAGGCGUCGCGCGAUUGGAUGAACCGAUGUCCGAUUAGCUAGUUGCGGGGUAAAGGCCCACCAAGGCGACGAUCGGUAGCUGGUCUGAGAGGACGACCAGCCACACUGGAACUGAGACACGGUCCAGACUCCUACGGAGGCAGCAGUGGGGAAUAUUGGACAAUGGGCGCAAGCCUGAUCCAGCCAUGCCGCGUGGGUGAAGAAGGCCUCGG
rnacentral:rRNA from 1 species